rnacentral:rRNA from 1 species
AUUGAACGCUGGCGGCAGGCUUAACACAUGCAAGUCGAGCGGGGGAGGUUGCUUCGGUAACUGACCUAGCGGCGGACGGGUGAGUAAUGCUUAGGAAUCUGCCUAUUAGUGGGGGACAACAUUCCGAAAGGGAUGCUAAUACCGCAUACGCCCUACGGGGGAAAGCAGGGGAUCUUCGGACCUUGCGCUAAUAGAUGAGCCUAAGUCGGAUUAGCUAGUUGGUGGGGUAAAGGCCUACCAAGGCGACGGUCUGUAGCGGGUCUGAGAGGAUGAUCCGCCACACUGGGACUGAGACACGGCCCAGACUCCUACGGGAGGCAGCAGUGGGGAAUAUUGGACAAUGGGCGGAAGCCUGAUCCAGCCAUGCCGCGUGUGUGAAGAAGGCCUUUUGGUUGUAAAGCACUUUAAGCGAGGAGGAGGCUCUUAAGGUUAAUACCCUUGAUGAGUGGACGUUACUCGCAGAAUAAGCACCGGCUAACUCUGUGCCAGCCGCCGCAGUAAUAC